rfam:Candidatus Magasanikbacteria bacterium RIFCSPLOWO2_02_FTLL_44_11 rifcsplowo2_02_scaffold_25144, whole genome shotgun sequence.
CUAGGUGCCUUAAGCGAGGGGGUAACACCCGAUCCCAUCCCGAACUCGGCAGUUAAGCCUCUCAGCGCCCAUGAUAGCGUCAAUCGCAAAAGUAGGCCGGCGCCUGGA